AACAAACGCUGGCGGCGUGCCUAAUACAUGCAAGUCGAACGGGGAAAGCUUUCGGGUGAGUACUAGUGGCGCACGGGUGAGGAACGCGUGGAUAAUCUGCCUUAGAGUGGGGGAUAACUAGUCGAAAGAUUAGCUAAUACCGCAUAAGACCACGAGAGCUGCGGCUUUUGAGGUCAAAGGUUUUUCGCUCUAAGAUGAGUCCGCGUAAGAUUAGCUAGUUGGUGAGGUAACGGCUCACCAAGGCGACGAUCUUUAACUGGUCUGAGAGGAUGAUCAGUCACACUGGAACUGAGACACGGUCCAGACUCCUACGGGAGGCAGCAGUAGGGAAUAUUGCACAAUGGAGGAAACUCUGAUGCAGCGACGCCGCGUGAGUGAUGAAGGCCUUCGGGUCGUAAAGCUCUGUCACAGGGGAAUAACACAAUGAAGGUACCCUGUAAGAAAGGAUCGGCUAACUUCGUG
rnacentral:rRNA from 1 species